rnacentral:rRNA from 1 species
GAUGAACGCUAGCGGCAGGCCUAACACAUGCAAGUCGAGGGAGAAGCCCUUUCGGGGGCAGAAACCGGCGCACGGGUGCGUAACGCGUAUGCAACCUACCUUUCACAGGGGGAUAGCCCGAAGAAAUUUGGAUUAAUACCCCAUAAGAUUAUUGGAUGGCAUCAUUUGAUAAUUAAAACUGCGGUGGGGAAAGAUGGGCAUGCGUCCUAUUAGCUAGUUGGAGUGGUAACGGCACCCCAAGGCUACGAUAGGUAGGGGUCCUGAGAGGGAGAGCCCCCACACUGGUACUGGGACAGGGACCAGAGUCAUACGGGCGGCAGCAGUGAGGGAUAUUGGUCAAUGGUAGGAAGCCUGAACCAGCCAUGCCGCGUGCAGGAAGAAUGCCUUCUGGGUUGUAACCUGCUUUUAUAUGGGCAGAAUAAGGUGUACGUGUACAUUGAUGACGGUACCAUAUGAAUAAGCAUCGGCUAACUACGUG